rnacentral:sRNA from 1 species
UUUCCUCUUUUACCAAGGACCCGCCAACAUGGGCCGCGUUCGCACCAAAACCGUGAAGAAGGCGGCCCGGGUCAUCAUAGAAAAGUACUACACGCGCCUGGGCAACGACUUCCACACGAACAAGCGCGUGUGCGAGGAGAUCGCCAUUAUCCCCAGCAAAAAGCUCCGCAACAAGAUAGCAGGGUGAGUCGAGGCUUCCGGGGCCCCGCGGUCUGUUUGUGUGCUCUGCCGCCUUCCGACUCGGGAAGAGACGGUGCAGUGGUGGUUUCGUUAGCCUGAGACUCCCUGGUGUCCCGGAGAAGGGCUAGAGCUCUGCGUGUGCAGGAUUUCUGUUGUGAACUUAGGCCUGUCAUGACUGGCCGCGGUGACACUGGGUCGAAGGUAGCCACCGUCAGACCUCUUGGUUUGAAGCUACCUUGCUUUUAGUUGUCAACUUUCUUUUCUUUCUUUUUUUUUUGAGACGGAAUCUUGCUCUGGCGCCCAGGCUAGAGUGCAGUGGUGCCAUCUCGGCUCACUGCAACCUCCGUCUCCCGGGUUCAAGCGAUUGUCAUGCCUCAGCCUU